rfam:Picea glauca, whole genome shotgun sequence.
ACUCCACAGUUAAGCGCGCUUGAGCCAGAGGCGUCUUGGGAUGGGUGACCACCUGGGAAGUCCUGGUUACCGGGUGCA